CGUGAGCCGAGUGCGCCGAGCUCUGGGGCGGCCCUCUCUCCUGGUGAGAUUUGGCGUCCUUUUCCUCCCUCCUCGCUGUGUCUGACGGAGCCCAGGUUGGCACUUUAGCUUCGGCACGGGUAGCCAGUCAAUCCCAAGAUAUGUGAACGAGCCCAUCCAGGAUCAGAAAGUUAUGUAGCUGACCUACAGCUGAGUGCGGACACGCAAGCAAGCCCAGCCUGAAGCCCUGAACCACCAUGUAAAGUGAUCCAGCUACUUUGGGAAGAGCAUAGAAAGAGAUACAACCUUCCAGCCCUAACUGUUCCAGUCAUCCCAACAGAGUGAAGCUCUCUUGUACAUUCAAACCCCAGCUGUUCCAGCAGUACAAUUGAACCCAGCUUCCAAUAGACCCAUCAGCUGAAUACAGCAAUGACAGUGAUCCUGGUUGACGCCACAUGGAGAAGAAAAAUUACUCAGCUGAACUGUAUCUGAAUCCUUGAGUGAAUGUGAUGGUUGCUGCUCUAAGGCACUAAUUUGAGCAGUUUGUUAGGUAGCAAUAGAUAAUAUGGUGUACACUGAGUAAAACAACCAGUAGUCUCGGCCUCUACAAGUCAGUAAUCUAUAUUUGCUCCUGAUUUAAAUUCUACUAAAAUGGCAGUAAGCCAAUGGAUACAGUUUGUGUAUUGGAACAAUAAGAGUCCGCUUCACCAUCCAAAUAGCUGUAUAUAUAUGAGUAGUGAGGAAAAAGCCAAAACGCUGAACCCAAAGACACCCUAGAACUUAAGUUUUGCAUUUGAGUAAAAUGGUCCUUAACUGGAUUAAACUCAAGUCUUACACAGUCCACAUGGUGGAGAGGAAAAAAGACAUGGCUAUAAAAUAGUCUAGUUUUUGAUGCUGAAAUGGUGGAAGGUCAGUAUUACAAUUUUCCUUUAUUUUUUUUCAAAAAGAGAAAAAUGUGUAUUAUUAACUAACAUAGGAUGCAGAGAAACUUCUCCAGACAAAAAUACAAUUCUGAUGAUUUGGGAAUGUGAGCCUUCUAUCCUUUUUAUUCUGAUGAGAUCCUACACAAUCUUAUAUUCUUAACUGUGAUGGUAGUGGGUCAUUGUCAUUGUCAUUGCUGUCAUCAACAUCAUUAUCAUUGUCACCAUCAUCAUCACCAUGUAUUUCAAUAAGGAGGAGCUGAGUAUGAGGCAAUGCACUCAAAGGGAAAUAAUGAGGAUACAGAGAGCGUGAUAUAGGAAGUAGAGAGGAGGCACAGGAAGGAAAAGAAUGAUAAGAACUCUUGGUAAAGAUUCAGAGAGAUAAGGGGAGUAAGGAUCAUAAAAAUAUGAUGGUAUGUAAUUUGCAAAGCAAUUUGCUAUUCAUGGAGAACAUUAAUGUGUAUAAUACAAUUUAAUCUUUUUAACAUUUGAUAAUGGUGUUUUAUUGUAUGUGUUAUAUGGAUGAGGAGAUACAGAUGGGCUAAAAUAAUACAACUUAAUAAUUAAUAUUUUCUAGUAAAAAUAUUUAAUGAAUGCACACUUGUGCCAGUCAUUAUGCUAAGUGCUAGAUAUUUAAUUGUUAACAAAACAGACUAUCCAUGUCAUAACUUAAAGACUAGUGGAAAAAAGCAUUCAACUAAUCACAAAAAGAACUGUAAAAUUACAAAAAAUUCAAGGAACAGAAUCCUAGGGAAACAGAAUAAAAGAUAUUGAUCUAUUCAAAUAAUUCUGACUAUAGAUUUUUAGACAGACCAAUUUAGACAAUGCAUAGAUAUCUUGCUUGAAUCUGUCUUAUGACUAUAUUUCAUGCACAUGCCUCUUAUACUUUAAAUAAA